rnacentral:rRNA from 1 species
AUAUCAGUCAUGCAUAGCAUAUCAAUAAGCGGAGGAAAAGAAACUAACAAGGAUCCCCUUAGUAACGGCGAGUGAAGCGGGAAGAGCUCAAAUUUGAAAUCUUCAAGGUUCUACCUUGACGAAUUGUAGUUUAUAGAAGUGUUUUCUGUUAGUGGAGUGGCAAAAGUUCUUUGGAAUAGGACAUCAUAGAGGGUGAGAAUCCCGUAUUUGAUCACUUUCUACUAACGUUGUGAUACACUUUCAAAGAGUCGGACUGUUUGGGAAUGCAGUCCAAAAUGGGUGGUAAAUUUCAUCUAAAGCUAAAUAUUGGCGAGAGACCGAUAGCGAACAAGUACCGUGAGGGAAAGAUGAAAAGAACUUUGAAAAGAGAGUUAAACAGUACGUGAAAUUGUCAAAAGGGAAGCGUUUGACACCAGUGUUGUUUUCUCGAAAAUCAAUUAAAAAUGGCUUGAUUUUGUGUUGUAUUGACUUUAUCGGCUUUCUGCACUUUUUUCAUGUCUUUCUUAAUGCACUUUUCGUUUAACAAGUCAACAUCAAUUUCUUUUGUUGUAAAAGGGUAAUAGGAAGGUGGCUUUACUUUCGGAGUAAAGUGUUUAUAGCCUUUGACUCUGCAAUCGGAGAGAUUGAGGUCUGCAGCGUAGAUCCUUCGGGGUUAGAUAGCAUUUGUGCUAAGUUAUAGCUUUCAUAGACAACUUGUUGACUAUGAUUAGUCAUUGUAGCUUACUCGCUUACUGCUAUUUUACCUACGCUUAGGAUGUUGAUCUCUCACAGUCGAGC